GAGGUUUGCGGGAUGAUGGACAUGGGGUUUCUUUGCAGGGUAUGAAACUGUUCUGAAUACAACUACACAGCGGUCAUGUUUGCACAACUCUGUGGAUAUACUAAAAAUCAGGGAGUUGUAUGUUUUGUGUUUUUUUCUUUUCAGGAAAUUAAAGAAGCCAAGAGUUGUAUGUUUUAAGUGGAUGACUAUGUGAAUUAGAGUUCCCUAAAGCUGUUAUUGGAAAAAAAACCUUUGAUGAGCAGAUCUCAAUCCUCCACGGGAAGAAGUCCGAUGUCCUCACGGUCUCCAGCCAGGCCUAGCACGGUGUCAGCCCUGCUGCCCGUUCCCUUUUGCUCGUCCCAGAAAGUGGAUGUGGCUGGUGUAGCCUGUGGAACCCAGCCUGCUCCCCUCCACACAUCCUACGGCCUGAAAUGCUCCUCCACGAACCCCUCUCAUCCAACCUACUCCUGCCACCACUGAGCUCCCACAGGGCACACUGAAUGCUGGGAAGGCCACUCCCUACCUAGCACGACUGCUGUGUUCACGGAUAAGCCGCCACUGGCUACAGAGAUUCAAGGACAGCAUGUUGGUAAACCACCCAGCUGGGCCUCUGGCACACCGCAAGCACCCAAUGGCACCUACUGUUACCCUAUGUGGGUUAUUUCCUCACCCCAGGAGGAGCUGGGAGGUGAAGACCUGCCCAAGGGCAUGUGAAUGGGGAAUGCUGUACCCAGGGCAGCAAGUGAGGUGACGUCCCACCCCCAGGGUGUGUUGGAGGGCUCAAGAAGAGAGAGGUGGAUAUGAAUGAAUAUGAACGGUGGCCAGGCCAGCAGACACACUGUCCACCUCUCUCCAUGACAUGGAUGUAGCGGACUGGGACAAACACACAGGGACCAGAUGCAGAAGGCAGGGGAGGAAGAAAAGCAGAUGAAGGCCGGGCGCGGUGGCUCACGCCUGUAAUCCCAGCACUUUGGAAGGCUGAGGCGGGCAGAUCACAAGGUCAGGAGUUCGAGAUCAGCCUGACCAACAUGGAGA